rnacentral:rRNA from 1 species
UACGUAGGGUGCAAGCGUUUAUCCGGAUUCACUGGGUUUAAAGGGUGCGUAGGUGGGUCUGUAAGUCAGUGGUGAAAUCUCCGAGCUUAACUCGGAAACUGCCAUUGAUACUAUAGGUCUUGAAUUAUCUGGAGGUUAGCGGAAUAUGUCAUGUAGCGGUGAAAUGCUUAGAUAUGACAUAGAACACCGAUUGCGAAGGCAGCUGGCUACAGGUAUAUUGACACUGAGGCACGAAAGCGUGGGGAUCGAAACAGG